UAAGCGGAGGAAAAGAAACCAACAGGGAUUGCCCUAGUAACGGCGAGUGAACAGGCAAGAGCUCAGAUUUGAAAGGCACUUUUGUGCCGUUGUAUUCUGAAGUUAGGGUCCUGAGAAACGAUGCUUAAGUCUUCUGGAAAGGAGCGCCAUGGAGGGUGAUAGCCCCGUCUAGCAUUGACCUCAUAUAGGAUCUUAACAUGGAGUCGAGUUGUUUGGGAAUGCAGCUCAAAUGGGUGGUAUGCUCCAUCUAAAGCUAAAUAUCUGCGAGAGACCGAUAGUAAACAAGUACUGUGAGGGAAAGAUGAAAAGAACUUUGAAAAGAGAGUGAAAAAGUACGUGAAAUUGUUGAAAUGGAAGGGUAGGCCGCUAACCAUGUAGAGCCGUGUUUGGGGGGAAGAUAAAUGCUGUAGAAUGUAGCUCCUCGGAGUAUUAUAGAUGCAGUUCAUAUUCCCACCCGAGCGCGAGGAUCUCAGGUUCUACUAU
rnacentral:rRNA from 1 species